CAAUAAUGUUGCUCUAAGUUUAACCGAAUUCAAAAACUUCGGUAGAAAUUUUUGAAAAAACUUUUUUCGGUUCAAUUCUUUGAGUUUGCCAAACUGAGCUAACCUAGUUCCGAACUAGCAGACCGGAAAAAUCAUCCAUGGGAUGAAUUAUUGAAUUGUACUUUUUAUUGGUCUGGCAUGGAUCAUCAUUUCCACCCUUGGAUAAUGUCCAAUCAACGCUUGAGAUGAAUUGUACUUUUUCAUUUGUUUUUUUAAAUUAUUUUCUGAGAUCUCAUGUUUGAGAAGCGAGAGAGUUAGAGAGAGAGAGAGAGAGAGAGAGAGAGAGAGAGAGAGAGAGAGAGAGAUAGAGACAAAAAUGGCGAGCGGGGUCCUGAUGCGUCGGAGAGAGUAGCUGAAGAAGCAAUCGAAUCCGUGGAAGAGACGGAGCGGCUAAAGAGAUUGCUAGCGGAUUCCUUGUACGGGACAGAUCGAGGUCUUAGCGCAUCGAGCGAGACGAGAGCCGAGAUCAGUGAGCUCAUCACGCAGCUCGAGUCCAAGAAUCCUAAUCGAAGCUCUGUUUCUCCUCCUUAGUGGCAAAUGGAUUCUCGCAUGUAUUAAGGAGUAGGGAACGAGAAGCAGUAGUGUGACACAGGGGCGACUCCGGUCAAGCGUGGUGCAGCAGUGGUGCAAGCCGGUGGUGGUCGUCUGGUGGAUCAAUGUAUUUCAGUCUCUAUUGCUCUGUUAUAUAUCUGAUUUUCUCAUGAAGUCAUGGUGGCUGGAGGAGGCAAGGUCCAUGGCGGCUUGAGGAGGCAAAUCUCGUGGCAAUUUUUAUUUCUUUAAGGUUAUCUUUUCUUCAUGAUUUGAAUAAAGGAAAAUUAACAUUAAGCAAUUUUUUGGUUUAAAUUUUUUUAAAAAGAUAACUAUGGUUAAAUAUUUUUUACAUUUAUUUUUUU